GUGCAGCAGUCGAGAAACUUCACAAUGUGCGAAAGCACGAUGAGGGAAUCCCAAGUGCUUGCACGUAAGUGUAAGCUGUUCUCUGUCUAAAACGCAGAGAGAGUAAGGGCUGGGUAAGACGGGUGCCAGCCGCCGCGGUAAUACCUGCAGCUCGAGUGGUGACCGUUAUUAUUGGGCCUAAAACGUCCGUAGCCGGUUUAAAUAAAUGCCUGGGUAAAUCGGACCGCUUAACGGUUCGAAUUCCGGGUAGACUGUUAAACUUGAGACCGGGAGAAGUUAGAGGUACUCCUGGGGUAGAGGUGAAAUUCUGUAAUCCUAGGGGGACCACCAGUGGCGAAGGCGUCUAACUAGAACGGGUCUGACGGUGAGGGACGAAGCCCUGGGGGCGC
rnacentral:rRNA from 1 species